GACGAACGCUGGCGGCGUGCCUAAUACAUGCAAGUUGAGCGCUGAAGGUUGGUACUUGUACCAACUGGAUGAGCAGCGAACGGGUGAGUAACGCGUGGGGAAUCUGCCUUUGAUCGGGGGACAACAAUUGGAAACGAAUGCUACUACCGCAUAAAAACUUUAAACACAAGUUUCAAGUUUGAAAGAUGCAAUUGCAUCAUUCAAAGAUGAUCCCGCGUUGUAUUAGCUAGUUGGUGAGGUAAAGGCUCACCCAGGCGAUGAUACAUAGCCGACCUGAGAGGGUGAUCGGCCACAUUGGGACUGAGAAACCGCCCAAACUCCUACGGGAGGCAGCAGUAGGGAAACUUCGGCAAUGGACGAAAGUCUGACCGAGCAACGCCGCGUGAGGGAAGAAGGUUUUCGGAUCGUAAAACUCUGUUGGUAGAGAAGAACGUUGGUGAGAGUGGAAAGCUCAUCAAGUGACGGUAACUACCCAGAAAGGGACGGCUAACUACGUG
rnacentral:rRNA from 1 species